rnacentral:rRNA from 1 species
GCUGGCGGCGUGCCUAAUACAUGCAAGUCGAGCGAACAGAUAAGGAGCUUGCUCCUUUGACGUUAGCGGCGGACGGGUGAGUAACACGUGGGUAACCUACCUAUAAGACUGGGAUAACUUCGGGAAACCGGAGCUAAUACCGGAUAACAUUUGGAACCGCAUGGUUCUAAAGUGAAAGAUGGUUUUGCUAUCACUUAUAGAUGGACCCGCGCCGUAUUAGCUAGUUGGUAAGGUAACGGCUUACCAAGGCGACGAUACGUAGCCGACCUGAGAGGGUGAUCGGCCACACUGGAACUGAGACACGGUCCAGACUCCUACGGGAGGCAGCAGUAGGGAAUCUUCCGCAAUGGGCGAAAGCCUGACGGAGCAACGCCGCGUGAGUGAUGAAGGGUUUCGGCUCGUAAAACUCUGUUAUUAGGGAAGAACAAACGUGU